CCGAGUUUACAACUCCCAAACCCAAUGUGAACCAUACCAAACUGUUGCCUCGGCGGGGUCACGCCCCGGGUGCGUCGCAGCCCCGGAACCAGGCGCCCGCCGGAGGGACCAACCAAACUCUUGAAUUGUAUGGCCUCUCUGAGUCUUCUGUACUGAAUAAGUCA
rnacentral:misc_RNA from 1 species